GGCUUGCUUUGGAGCAAACCCUAGAGGCGAAGACGGUUCGUCGAUCCGACAAGUGGGUGCGAAGAUAUCGCCAUUUGUUGUGCUAAGGGGUUAAAGCUAACCCAACAAAAAUUAAGCGGCGACAAGACUAGCACGAGAACGCGUCUCGGAGUGUUUUCGGCAUCACCCAAGGUACACAGGACAGCGGGCCUUCGGCAAUGGAUCGUGGUAAGGGCAUAGCGCCCUAGCUUUUGGUAGAUAGCCUACCUUACCUACUUGCAUUAGCUCUAUACCCUGUACUUUUGGUUAUGUUUUGAGAGUAGAUGUUGUAUAGGGUGAGGUUUUGGAGAGUUCAUGAUGUAUAUUCAUUUGAGAAAAGAAUGCAAGUUGUAUUAAAUGAUUAAAGUUUAAAAUGUUAUCGAAAGAGGUUAAAUGUUUCAA